rnacentral:lncRNA from 1 species
GUCUCUUGGGUCCCUGAGGAGGGAGAGAUGAUGGACCAGAAAGACAAGGACCAGGUGAAGGAUCGAGGCCAAUGGACCAACAAGAUGGAGUUCGUACUGUCAGUGGCGGGAGAGAUCAUUGGCUUAGGCAACGUCUGGAGGUUUCCCUAUCUCUGCUACAAGAACGGGGGAGCUGUGGUAUCCCAGUGUUCUUCCUGGAGGUGGCACUGGGUCAGUAUAGCAGCCAGGGGAGUGUUACUGCUUGGAGGAAGAUCUGUCCCCUUCUCCAAGGCAUUGGCAUGGCAUCUGUGGUCAUCGAGUCUUAUUUGAACAUCUACUACAUCAUCAUCCUUGCCUGGGCUCUCUUCUACCUGUUCAGCUCCUUCACCUGGGAGCUUCCCUGGACAACCUGCACCAACU